AGUGAACGCUGGCGGCAGGCCUAAUACAUGCAAGUCGAACGGCAGCACAGCAGAGCUUGCUCUGUGGGUGGCGAGUGGCGGACGGGUGAGGAAUACGUGGGAAUCUGCCCAGUCGUGGGGAUAACGUAGGGAAACUUACGCUAAUACCGCAUGCGCCCUUCGGGGAAAGCCGGGGACCUUCGGGCCUGGCGCGAUUGGAUGAGCCCACGUCGGAUUAGCUAGUUGGCGGGGUAAAGGCCCACCAAGGCGACGAUCCGUAGCUGGUCUGAGAGGAUGAUCAGCCACACUGGAACUGAGACACGGUCCAGACUCCUACGGGAGGCAGCAGUAGGGAAUAUUGGACAAUGGGCGCAAGCCUGAUCCAGCCAUGCCGCGUGAGUGAAGAAGGCCCUCGGGUUGUAAAGCUCUUUGUUGGGGAAGAAAAGCAGUUGGUAAUACCCGACUGUUCUGACGGUACCCAAAGAUAAGCACCGGCUAACUUCGUGCCAGCAGCCGCGGUAAU
rnacentral:rRNA from 1 species